AUGGAGGAUGUGAUCUACGAGGGUGGGCAUGGCCGUGCCUACGAUCCCGACGAGACCCAAAGUCAGGAUGGCCGCGCCCAGUACGUUGCCGAUGAAGAGGCCGACGACCGUGCUGACUACGACCAUGGUGACUCGUGGCAUGAAGACGAUGACAUCUAUUGCGAAGGUGAUGGUGAUGAAGAAGAAGGCAAUGACAUUGAUAUUAGUGGCGAGCCAUUGUUCAUCGACGGGCUCACCCAAAGAGCGGAAGCACAAAAGAGGAAGAGCAUUCGCAUAGGUUCAUAUUCACAAGAGGAGGACAAGUUGAUUUGCCAAUGUUGGAUGGAGAUUAGCCAAGAUCCAAGGACCGGCGCGCAACAAAAGGGCCUUGUUUUUUGGACGAGAGUCCACAAAACAUUUCAUGAAAGGAAGAUGUUUGAGCCCUACCAAAUUACGAGCAACCGUGGCAUCACCUCGAUUCAAAAGAGGUGGUUGUUCAUCCAACAAGACUGCAACAAGUAUUGCGCCACACUUGAGAGCGUUGAAAGCACGGCCCGUGAGUGGUCUCGGCGUUGGGGACAUGGUAUGCUCUCCUCAACCUAG
rnacentral:rRNA from 1 species